AAUCUUUAAAAAAAAAAAAGAAGUGUUAGUUAGGGGAGUUGUAACCAGAUACUGGAAGAAACUAAUAGAAUUCAUGAUAUGGUUCAGUUUAUAGGUAAAAAACAAAACCUCAACAACAAUUAAAAGCGCUAAAAUCUGAUACCCACAAAGGUGUAUUACUGAAACAUAAUUUGUUCUCUAUACAGUCAUCCUCAUUUCUAUCAGAGAUAAGGAAAAUAAGGCUGAAGUGUUUGUAAAGUCCACUGUCUUUAAAUUUGGCCUGCAGCAUGAAUAGUGAUUGAUCAUGUAGAAUCUUAUAAGUCAGCUUUGCUGGAAUUUUUCUUAAGGAGUUUCAGAUUGAACUUUUGAAAGCUGCUCAAGGCUAGGAAGCCAAGCCAAAGACUUGAUGUCAGACUUCAUCUAUAAUACCUAUACAUAUGGGUGAAUUCCUCAUUUUUUGAGGUUCUUGAUAUAUUCUGAUAUUCCUGGGCCUGUCAGGCAGUGACCUUCCUUACUCAUCUUGUAAGACUACUGGGAAUCCUAUAAGGUACCAGACUGAUUUUACUCAAGGGGCUUAAUUGGUUACAUAAAGUCAGCCUUGUUUUUUUUAAAAUUGUCUUGGCAUAUCUGAAUCUAUGCAUAUCUCUCCCAAAUAUUAAUGAUAUUCCACUCAAAGCCUUGGUAAUGUAACCAGUGUUUCCAGUUGUGUCCUGGUACAAGGAGAACAGAUUCACAAUUGAAAUUACAUAAAUAACUAUACUGCUGCAAAAAUAUAAGAAUACUCACUGAGAGUUCCCAAAUUCUGGAGGGAUCAGAUGGGGGAAAUAAGUCAUUGUGUUUCAUCUUCAUUCAGAAAGAUAUGCUUAACCAAAAUGCUGUAAGGUCUGCUUAACCAA